rnacentral:rRNA from 1 species
CAGUCGCCGCGGGAAUACGUAGGUGGCAAGCGUUGUCCGGAAUUAUUGGGCGUAAAGGGCUCGCAGGCGAUUUCUUAAGUCUGAUAUGAAAGCCCCCGGCUCAACCGGGGAGGGUCAUUGGAAACUGGGAAACUUGAGUGCAGAAGAGGAGAGUGGAAUUCCACGUGUAGCGGUGAAAUGCGUAGGGAUGUGGAGGAACACCAGUGGCGAAGGCGACUCUCUGGUCUGUAACUGACGCAGAGGAGCGAAAGCGUGGGGAGCGAACAGGAUUAGAGACCCCCGUAGUCCCUGUCUCUUAUAC